GCCGCAGCUGGCAACGAAGGCACCUCCCUCUGCCGCACCUCGGAACCCACUUUCUCUCUGUCGCACCUCGAAAACAACCGCAACUCAAUCACCCUCUGCCGCAGCUCGCAAUGCACCCCCUCCUCUGCCGCAGCUCGUGUGUCGCUUCUCCAACUACGGCUAACCACAGCCGCAUCUCCCACAUGCGGUUACUCAAAGUCGCACCUCCCAGGUGCGGCACCCCUCAACCGCGACUCUGAGUUGCGGCACUUCUAAACCGCGCUUCCAAAUGCGUUUCUACGCACCUCCCUCUGAACCCAUUAAAUAUCCAACCCCAACCCCAACCCUCAGUGUUCCUCUCAACAACAGAUUUAGCAUAAUACAGAUCUAGCAUAAUACACUUAAAGAAAAAACAUAUGUAAGUAACCUGGAUGCGUGCUGGAGAUGUCCUCGAUCUCACUACCACCAGGAACGACGAACAGGAGAAACGAAAGUCUUCUUCUUCUGUGUGCAAGGUAAAGGAAAGAAGGGAGUUCUUCUGUUAGAAAGGUAAAGAUAAAGGAAAGAAGGGGGUGUAGAGAUGGAAGACUCAGUCUUCUGACAUGGAUGGGAAAGAAGCAUGGAAAUGGAGCAGCUUUUUAGAAAAUCAAAAUAUUCUGUUAUGGGUAAAAUUGAAAAUAAAGAAAGAAUGGGAGGUGCAGGACGAGGUGAGUGAGGUGUAUGGAGGAAUACUCUUUAAUUUAUUUCAAAAAUAUUUUACAUCUCCCCACUAUUUUCUUUUAUUCCAAAAAUACCCUACACCUACCCACUAUCCUUAGCAAUCUUUCUC
rnacentral:lncRNA from 1 species